UCUAAUUGGUAAAGAGGACGCGUUUAGGCCGCGUAUAUACAGGUUCGAGUCCUGUA
rnacentral:tRNA from 1 species